rnacentral:rRNA from 1 species
AUUGAACGCUGGCGGCAUGCUUUACACAUGCAAGUCGAGCGGUAACAGGCCUUCGGGUGGCGAGUGGCGGACGGGUGAGGAAUACAUCGGAAUCUACUUUUUCGUGGGGGAUAACGUAGGGAAACUUACGCUAAUACCGCAUACGACCUACGGGUGAAAGCAGGGGAUCUUCGGACCUUGCGCGAUUGAAUGAGCCGAUGUCGGAUUAGCUAGUUGGCGGGGUAAAGGCCCACCAAGGCGACGAUCCGUAGCUGGUCUGAGAGGAUGAUCAGCCACACUGGAACUGAGACACGGUCCAGACUCCUACGGGAGGCAGCAGUGGGGAAUAUUGGACAAUGGGCGCAAGCCUGAUCCAGCCAUACCGCGUGGGUGAAGAAGGCCUUCGGGUUGUAAAGCCCUUUUGUUGGGAAAGAAAAGCAGCAGGUUAAUACCCCGCUGUUCUGACGGUACCCAAAGAAUAAGCACCGGCUAACUUCGUG